rnacentral:lncRNA from 1 species
GGAGCCGAGCAAUGGUGGCCAUCGCCGUCGCCGCAGCUUUGGAAUUAAUUACAUCAGAUUUGUGGCUUUGCUUUCCAUGAGGGCCCCGUUGACUUUUAAGAGCACCAGAGCCAAUCCGUUGUGAUUUUAGUUGUUCUGUUGUUGAAACUUGAAACCUUGGAUUGGCAACAGGUGAUUUGAAGAAUUUCAGCAACCUACCACAAUUUCAUAGGGCAAUUUGGUAUGUUCGGUGAAAUCUAAUGCACACAUUUCAGCAAUUCUUUGGUGAUGUGUUUUUUUUUUCUCUCUCCAUCGUUUAGUAAAUUGUGGAUCACUUCCAUAUUCAUAUUGAGGCUUCAAGCUUCUGUACAUUUGACAGGGUCUGUAUUUUUGCACGUGGUGACUGGUGAGUACGGCAAAUUUCCUUGCAUGCCAUCUAAUUAAUCACAAGUCCAGAGCUCGGAGCUCGGAAGAAUUGUUAAGUAGAGG